UAAACGACUCUCGGCAACGGAUAUCUCGGCUCUCGCAUCGAUGAAGAACGUAGCGAAAUGCGAUACUUGGUGUGAAUUGCAGAAUCCCGUGAACCAUCGAGUCUUUGAACGCAAGUUGCGCCCUAAGCCAUUUGGCCGAGGGCACGUCUGCCUGGGCGUCAAUC
rnacentral:rRNA from 3 species